GAUGAACGCUGGCGGCGUGCCUAAUACAUGCAAGUCGAGCGAACGGACGAGAAGCUUGCUUCUCUGAUGUUAGCGGCGGACGGGUGAGUAACACGUGGAUAACCUACCUAUAAGACUGGGAUAACUUCGGGAAACCGGAGCUAAUACCGGAUAAUAUUUUGAACCGCAUGGUUCAAAAGUGAAAGACGGUCUUGCUGUCACUUAUAGAUGGAUCCGCGCUGCAUUAGCUAGUUGGUAAGGUAACGGCUUACCAAGGCAACGAUGCAUAGCCGACCUGAGAGGGUGAUCGGCCACACUGGAACUGAGACACGGUCCAGACUCCUACGGGAGGCAGCAGUAGGGAAUCUUCCGCAAUGGGCGAAAGCCUGACGGAGCAACGCCGCGUGAGUGAUGAAGGUCUUCGGAUCGUAAAACUCUGUUAUUAGGGAAGAACAUAUGUGUAAGUAACUGUGCACAUCUUGACGGUACCUAAUCAGAAAGCCACGGCUAACUACGUGCCAGCAGCCGCGGUAAUACGUAGGUGGCAAGCGUUAUCCGGAAUUAUUGGGCGUAAAGCGCGCGUAGGCGGUUUUUUAAGUCUGAUGUGAAAGCCCACGGCUCAACCGUGGAGGGUCAUUGGAAACUGGAAAACUUGAGUGCAGAAGAGGAAAGUGGAAUUCCAUGUGUAGCGGUGAAAUGCGCAGAGAUAUGGAGGAACACCAGUGGCGAAGGCGACUUUCUGGUCUGUAACUGACGCUGAUGUGCGAAAGCGUGGGGAUCAAACAGGAUUAGAUACCCUGGUAGUCCACGCCGUAAACGAUGAGUGCUAAGUGUUAGGGGGUUUCCGCCCCUUAGUGCUGCAGCUAACGCAUUAAGCACUCCGCCUGGGGAGUACGACCGCAAGGUUGAAACUCAAAGGAAUUGACGGGGACCCGCACAUGCGGUGGAGCAUGUGGUUUAAUUCGAAGCAACGCGAAGAACCUUACCAAAUCUUGACAUCCUUUGACAACUCUAGAGAUAGAGCCUUCCCCUUCGGGGGACAAAGUGACAGGUGGUGCAUGGUUGUCGUCAGCUCGUGUCGUGAGAUGUUGGGUUAAGUCCCGCAACGAGCGCAACCCUUAAGCUUAGUUGCCAUCAUUAAGUUGGGCACUCUAAGUUGACUGCCGGUGACAAACCGGAGGAAGGUGGGGAUGACGUCAAAUCAUCAUGCCCCUUAUGAUUUGGGCUACACACGUGCUACAAUGGACAAUACAAAGGGCAGCGAAACCGCGAGGUCAAGCAAAUCCCAUAAAGUUGUUCUCAGUUCGGAUUGUAGUCUGCAACUCGACUACAUGAAGCUGGAAUCGCUAGUAAUCGUAGAUCAGCAUGCUACGGUGAAUACGUUCCCGGGUCU
rnacentral:rRNA from 1 species